GAUGAACGCUGGCGGCGUGCCUAAUACAUGCAAGUCGAGCGAACAGACGAGGAGCUUGCUCCUCUGACGUUAGCGGCGGACGGGUGAGUAACACGUGGAUAACCUACCUAUAAGACUGGGAUAACUUCGGGAAACCGGAGCUAAUACCGGAUAAUAUAUUGAACCGCAUGGUUCAAUAGUGAAAGACGGUUUUGCUGUCACUUAUAGAUGGAUCCCCGCCGCAUUAGCUAGUUGGUAAGGUAACGGCUUACCAAGGCAACGAUGCGUAGCCGACCGGAGAGGGUGAUAGCCCACACUGGAACUGGGACACGGUCCAGACGCCUACGGGAGGCAGCAGUAGGGAAUCGUCCGCAAUGGGCGAAAGCCUGACGGAGCAACGCCGCGUGAGUGAUGAAGGUCUUCGGAUCGUAAAACUCUGUUAUUAGGGAAGAACAAAUGUGUAAGUAACUAUGCACGUCUUGACGGUACCUAAUCAGAAAGCCACGGCUAACUACGUG
rnacentral:rRNA from 1 species